CAAUAGCGUAUAUUUAAGUUGUUGCAGUUAAAAAGCUCGUAGUCGGAUUUUGGCUGAGAACGAACGGUCCGCCGUUAGGUGUGCACUGUUUGGUCUCAGCUUCCUGGUGAGGAGGUGUGCUUCACGGCCACUUAGUCACCGUGGUUACUUUGAAAAAAUUAGAGUGUUCAAAGCGGGCUUACGCUUGAAUACAUUAGCAUGGAAUAACACCAUAGGACUCCUGUCCUAUUUCGUUGGUCUCGGGACGGGAGUAAUGAUUAAGAGGAACAGUUGGGGGCAUUCGUAUUUCAUUGUCAGAGGUGAAAUUCCUGGAUUUAUGAAAGACGAACUUCUGCGAAAGCAUUUGCCAAGGAUGUUUUCAUUGA
rnacentral:rRNA from 1 species